GCGAGUGAAGAGGGAAAAGCUCAAGUUUGGAAGCUUCGUGGCAUAGCUACGACGCGUUGUAAACUGAAGUUUUUUGGGUGAUUGGGCGACCGGAUAAAUAAGUCCUUUGGAAAGGGGCAACAUAGAGGGUGACAUUCCCGUCUUUGGUCCGAGUCAGUGCAGUCGCUGCCCAGGAAACGACGAGUCAGGUUGUUUGGGAAUGCAGCCUAAAAUGGGAGGUAAAUCUCUCCUAAAGCUAAAUACUGGCGUAAGACCGAUAGCGAACAAGUACCGUGAGGGAAAGAUGAAAAGGACUUUGAAAAGAGGGUCAAAUAGUACGUGAAAUUGUUGAAAGGGAACCGUAUGAAAGUAGACUGGCUUGGUGAUGAUCAAUGUGUGUUUCGGCACGCAUGCACUCAUUGCCUUUGCCAGCCAGCGGCAGUUUUUGCUAAAGGAAGAAAAUCAGGGGAAUGUAGCUUCGAUUUCGGUUGAAGUGUUAUAGCUCCUGGUAAAAUACUUUGGCAGAGACUGAGGCUAGCAGCGGAUCUUUGGGAACUUUGCGCGCUUGUCGUCCAAUGGUUAAGUUUUCUUCGGAUGCUUGGUCAUUGGGUGGCAACUCGUGUGAUGCUUCACCCUUCCGCUUAGGUCGCUG
rnacentral:rRNA from 1 species